rnacentral:rRNA from 1 species
GACGAACGCUGGCGGCGUGCUUAACACAUGCAAGUCGAACGGAAAGGCCCUGCUUUUGUGGGGUGCUCGAGUGGCGAACGGGUGAGUAACACGUGAGUAACCUGCCCUUGACUUUGGGAUAACUUCAGGAAACUGGGGCUAAUACCGGAUAGGAGCUCCUGCUGCAUGGUGGGGGUUGGAAAGUUUCGGCGGUUGGGGAUGGACUCGCGGCUUAUCAGCUUGUUGGUGGGGUAGUGGCUUACCAAGGCUUUGACGGGUAGCCGGCCUGAGAGGGUGACCGGCCACAUUGGGACUGAGAUACGGCCCAGACUCCUACGGGAGGCAGCAGUGGGGAAUAUUGCACAAUGGGCGGAAGCCUGAUGCAGCAACGCCGCGUGCGGGAUGACGGCCUUCGGGUUGUAAACCGCUUCCGCCUGUGACGAAGCGUGAGUGACGGUAAUGGGGAAAGAAGCACCGGCUAACUACGU